CAACGUUUGACAUCCCUAGUAUGGAUCGUGGAGACACUUUCCUUCAGUUCGGCUGGCUAGGUGACAGGUGCUGCAUGGCUGUCGUCAGCUCGUGUCGUGAGAUGUUGGGUUAAGUCCCGCAACGAGCGCAACCCUCGACCUUAGUUGCCAUCAUUAAGUUGGGUACUCUAAGGUAACCGCCGGUGAUAAGCCGGAGGAGGGUGGGGAUGACGUCAAGUCCUCAUGGCCCUUACGCGUUGGGCUACACACGUGCUACAAUGGCGACUACAGUGGGCAGCCACUCCGCGAGGAGGAGCUAAUCUCCAAGAGUCGUCUCAGUUCGGAUCGUUCUCUGCAACUCGAGAGCGUGAAGGCGGAAUCGCUAGUAAUCGCGGAUCAGCAUGCCGCGGUGAAUACGUUCCCAGGCCUUGUACACUCCGCCCGUCACACCAUGGGAGUUGGAUUCACUCGAAGGCGUUGAGCUAACCGCAAGGAGGCAGGCGACCACAGUGGGUUCACGCGACUGGGGUG
rnacentral:rRNA from 1 species